GAUCCUGAGGGGUAUCAUUCGUUGUGUUCGUACGCCUCGGCGGCGGUGGCUAUGAAUGUAGUGCCCUGGUCAGCGCAUGAAGACAUCGAUUGUUCUCAGUCGUCGGUUUCGCGCUGUCGUGGGUUGACGUGUUGUGUGUUGUGCUUCUUGUUUCAUGCUAAUUACCACAUGGAGGUGGAACCCCUGUAGCUGACCAAAAAGGCCAGGACUGUCAGAUGCGAUAUAUGAAUUGGGUAUGGGAUAGAGAGAAAUAUUGGGAUUCUAUUGGAGAAUUUGCAUACCCCUGCUUAUGCUACUCCUCACAAGGCCAACCAAAGCAGGCACCCAAUUGUUCUCGUGCUGAGCUGACAGAUUCGUAACUGACAUGCUUUACUUAUAAUUCUCAGUAAUUUCACACUACUCACAAUUAUGUUUUACUUUCAGUUCAAGUUCUUCAAACAGAGCUGACCCAACAGAAGGCCUCUGGUGGCACACUGUAAUCAAGUGCGCCACUCCCACAGGAUUGGCCUUUUGCAUUCAUGUCUGAAUGCUGUCCAGGGCAUCCCACAGGCACCAGCUGCAUGACGAUGCCCCACCCCACGGAUUGUCUUAUGCCAACAGUGUGCUCCCGUAGGGAACUAUAGACACUAGAAGAUGGACUGUGGUCAUGCUAAGGAAUUCUUCAGUAGCUUCAUGGUGCACUAGAGAAGAAGCAGCAGACCUGGACGAAGUAAACAAACGGCCCUUGUCAGGGCCACCAUAUGUUUGCCAGAAUGGCUAGCGUUCUGCUGGUAGAAGAAACCCUGACGGUGAUAGAAGAUCACUGAACUAACCAUAACUCAAGCAUGAUGGCUACAACAGUGCUGAUAGAAAACAAUCAUUGCAGUUGCAAAUGCCAUACAUUUCACUAAGCACUGUAUUUUUGAUGACAGUAAUAUUUAGAGUUGAAGGAGUCAUGUUCUGCCACUUUUUGGAUGGUCAAAGUAUGCAUCACAGAACACAUUGCUAAGGUGAACAGUAUGUGGAACCGACUAUAACUCCUGUUAUUCAUUCGCACAGAAAAUAUGAAGCAGAAAAUGUCGAGGUUGUUGCGAGAGACCUGUACUAUGUCUGUUCUAUGUCUUUUGCAAAAGCUAUCACCGUUUCUCAACAAAAGUGAGGUGGAGAAUGUACUGGACGCCUCCAUUUUUCCCCUUUCUCUCCGUACUGUAAAGGUAGUUCUUUUUGUGUAGUCCAAUAAUACGAGAAUUUGAAAAAAGGUCUUUGGGUGUACUUGACAUAAUUGUGUGCCAGUCUAUAUCAUUGAACCCCCGUGGCACUGAGGACAAAACUUUACCUAGACAGUAUAUUUGGGUCCUAAGAACGCCAUUGGAGCCACAGGGCAUAUUGACUUUCGACCACAUCAUGCAGGGCCACAAGGAAAAGAAACGAUUGUAGUUACCAUAAAACUUUGGUAUAUCAUACAUAACAUUGUACACAAAAACAGGACCGACAUAGUUAUUGUGGAGCCGGAUAGUGGAUAACACCAAAAAUUAAUGGGCUUACUAGGCUAACGCCAAUAAAUGGGCGGCCUUCCAAAUAGAGUGCUGAUAGUAUGAAAAACUAUUCGACCUUCACAAAGGCUUAGGAGAAUGUUCAGUAGCACUCCGAAUUAUCCAUUUACUUACUGUAUUGCUGCCUUAGUUCACAGUUGGAAAAUAAGUAUAGAAAAUCAAAGAGAAAGAGCUAGCUGGCAUAUUCACAGUGGGUUAUGGCUUCGGGUUUGCUAUGUUGUGUUUAAUGAGAAGUGCAGAAAUUUGGGCCAGUUGGUACAUAACUGCAAAAGGGAACAAGAGCAUACAGAUGGGACAAUGGAGGGACAGAGCUGCUUACAACUAAACUAUAAUGGUAAGAAACCCGACGCAGUCAUGUGCGCAGGUGCACUGCUAUCCCACCAUGUCAAAACAACGAGUACAGUACUAGACAAAUGUUAGAGAACACGCUCCGGCGCAUUCCUUCCUCAGAGUGACAGCAAAUGGGACCGUACAGACUUAGACAUGCGCGUAUAGGUAGCCCAGUCACCUGUAUGCAAGUCCGUACGAUACCAUUCGCUGCCAGCUUGUCACUCGGAGGGAGGAGUGUGCCAGAGCAUGUUAAGCUUUUGUCCAGCACUUUACAAGUAUAAAACUGAUUAACAAUGUAGAGUGGGCUAGUUGGUAUGACAUCUUAGACUACGGAGCUACGGCAGACAAGGACAAUACACUACUCCAUAAUCAACUGGUUUAUUUCUGGAAAAAGAGAAAAGGAAGGUUGAACGUUGGGAUUGGGGGUUUUGCCUAGUGGUGAUCUUUUCCUGCUGUCCUUGUCUGCCGUAGCUCCGUAGUCGAAGUCUGUACAAGUAUGUCAGAAAAGACCCUCAAAAUGACAUUUUUAGGCAUGUGCAAACAAAACCAUCGUAGUGAUAAGGGGUGACACAAGUGAAAAAAAAUGCCUAUGAUUUGAAUAAAAAUUCAAGUUUCUUAUCCAUCAAACAAAUAGAAGCUUCAACUGGAAGAGCCACUUCUUAUUUCAGCCACUUCGACUACCUCUCUUUCGAACUGACAGUUUGCUUUUCUUUUUGGCUGAGUUCUUUCAAAAGCCGGGUUUUAAUGUCACUAUUUGAUAUAGUAUAAGAAUUAGGAUGGACAGAAGAUCGACUCAAUCCUCGCAUUAGCUACGGUGUGCUAGUAUACCAUACCGCACGCGAAUACCAGGUUGCCGUGUCCGUAAUUUUGUGAGGUUCGAGAGCCACAAGGACUGCUCGCAUGCAGUGUAUUCUACCUAACUUGGACUGCGCAGCAGCAGUACUGGGGCCAGGCUGAAAACAAUGCCUGAAAAUCUGUUCUCCUAAUUCGUCUUUAAAUUUCGAGAGGGUAGCUUCGUUCUCUUUGAUGGCCAAGAGGCCGCGUGUUUGAGAUCCCUGUAGAUAGGGCAAUCGCUUUCGAAACUAAACAACAAGGAUCAGAAACAUAACGCUGUCCUAUUUCUGCGCAAAAGCACCAUAGCUCAUGCACAAAGCAAGUCUUCCAAAGACAUGAACGGGUUUUUCCGGGGAACCACCACCGUGGGAAAACAGACACAAGUGCAGGUGGUAAAUGUGAAUCACGUGUCGCCCCCAAGAUUUUUUUAGAAUUUCUUUGACAGAUGUUCAAAAUUUAGUUUGCAGUUUAUUGAGUUUAUAUACGUAUAUCCAACACCGCAGGUCCCGUGAUUUCUGUCCUUUCUUCUUUCUUUCUUUUGUUUAUGAUUCAUUUGCUACAGCAAUUCACAUAUAACGUCGACUUAGUGAAAGUACACUUUAUGUAGUAAUUGUACUUUUUAAUGCUUUUCAUAUCUUAGGGCUCCUCUUUGUUCGGUUUUUCGAUAGGUCUGUCUUCCGACUUGCCAGCUUUCUGAUAGUUCGGUCUCAUGAUUUUCGGCAUUAUAUGAUUGCCACUGCUCUUGGGCCCCGGAUCCCGACAGCCUCGAAAUACCCUUAUCUCGUGACCACUUCUCCUUCCAACUGGUUACAAAAAGUGAAGUGUCCGUAACCAAAGUAUAUUGAUAUGCAGAUUAAGUAGAAAGGGAGAGGGGCAGAUAAAAAUGACAAAAACAUAAGAGAAGGCGACAAAUUGUCUUCGAUCAAGGAUACUUCUUUAUUGAUACUAAGGUCACAAAAUGAUCACGAUGAUCGGGUAUGUUUAGGGUAAAUCGUGCAACACAGUCCCCAAAGAAAAUGACAAAAAUAUAUACACAGUACCGAGAGGAUAGAGAGUUAGCAAGCGAGCUGGUGGUAUAGAUCCAUAACACAGACAAGCUUGUCGUUUUUUGUCCCCCAGUCUCGGGUUUUUAAUUUAGAGAUAACCAUAUAUAAAGUAAUUGAUCCUCUGUAUGCAAUAAGCAAGCCAUGCAUGUAAUGCAAUCCCCUUUCGUGUAUUUUUGCUGCAAUGACGUCCACAUACCAACAUGUACCUGCCAUAGAAAAUUUAGGACCGUAUUGCAAUUUAUUGACCUGUUACAGGAGGGUAAGAAACGAGAAAUGUAUGUGUGUUAAUAGGAUGGGCAGCCAGGUCUUGCCCCUUUUCUACACACGCAUACAAAUGAUAGCUUAAAUUGAACUGCGGCUUCCACUCGAAAAACACGUUCUUCCUAACUAACACGACUGUGUCGGCAGUGAUACUGAGCGUUGUAAUCGAAAAGAAAGAAGAAAAAAAAACGUGAGCACUAAGCUAAUAAGUCAUAUUAUGCUGGUCACCUACGAUAUAUUUUCAAGAUUGUGCUCGUUUAGCAGCACGAUACGCUCGACCUAGACUGCUCUGCAACGCACAGGUGACUUCACCCUACCUGGUUCUCCAGCAAUCAAAGUACGACUUGUGAAAGCUGCUUGUAUUUGCGCGAUAAGGGUGUGUGCAUGCGGUGUUACAUUGGAAAAUGAUGUACCAUGCUCACGGACAAUUUCUGCUAACUCACAGACCCAAAAAACACAAACAUAUAUGUUACACAUUUUCCAUUGCAUUAGUCGAGGUAACCCGGCUGCAGUUACUUCACCAAAUACUCGAAGUUUUUUCGGUUUGGGAUUUUUCGACUUAUCCCCUUCUUGCAUACAGGGGUUCAAUCGUCAACUGAAGGGAAACUAAACUAACACUCUACCGAACGCUAAUUCUUCCUAAAUUAGAGUAUGCCGCUUCGGUGUGGGAUCCAGGGCAACAAUCACUCAUUCACCAACUGGAAAUGGUUCAGAACCGUGCUGCACGGUUUAUUCUCGGAAAUUAUAGUCGUACAGCCAGUGUCACUGCGAUGAAAUCAGCCCUUAACCUAUCUUCCUUGACUGUUCGCCGCCAGUUUGCUCGACUGUGUCUGUUCCAUAAGAUAUAUUACUACAACGAAACGCUAAAACUCCAUUUAAUUGUACAUCCAUCAUACGUCUCAUCAAGGCUUGAUCAUCGCCAGAAAGUUGGUGUCCCAUCCUGCACUACUAAAACGUGUUUUGACUCACUUUUACCUAAAACCUCACUGGAAUGGAAUCAUCUCCCGGGUCACCUUACCUCCAUCACUGACGGUAGACAGUUCAGUAAACUGCUUCACGACCACGUGAAUGCAGCGUAAGAUUAUUUAAGCUUUACAUAUACUAAUCUGAUUGUCCACCAGUGAUACUAUCUAUGCUCGUGUUUUUGGUUCGUUGUGUUGUUGUUGUUUUUUUAUUAUUUUUUUUAUUGUAUUCCACAUUGUUCCUGCUUUGUUUCAAGCCCCUCCCCUGUUUAAUGCUGUAUCCCUGAGGGUAAAUAAAUAAAUAAAUAAACUGUAUACAUGCCAUCAGCACAAAGCUUGCCUGUCUGUAU